CGCGACCCCAGGUCAGGCGGGGUUACCCGC
rnacentral:rRNA from 1 species